GGCAGGGCAACGGGAGGGCCGGGGGCCAAUGAGGAGAUCGGCGCGGCGGCGGCGGCCGCCUGUGAAAGUGCCGAGCCGGUGCGCUAGGGGCAGGGGGAAGAUGAGAGAGGGAGAAAGCAUGGAUAACAAAACCUUCCCCUGAGAGAGCUUCGCUUUAUAACACCCCCUUCCACUCCUGUCAAGGCAUUGCUUAGAAUUUUUUAUUCCACAAAGGAUGUGAGAGCUUUACUUUGUAUCCUGAAACACAACAGAGCAUUUUUUUUUUUUUCAUGGGAUGAAAAUUCCAGUAUUUGGCCAGCCUGAAUCAAAACUUCUGGAAACUUGGGGCCAAACCUUUGGCUCGUACAAACUGGCUUGCUCCAUUGUGUUUAGUCCACAGAGGAACUGGCCCUGGUUUAAUUAAUGGUUCACCCGAGGUCGUGCAGGGAGUUGAUUUUUAAAGCCGGGAGCUGAAUCCAGAGCUGUUAUUAUUCAGUCUUGUCAUAUAUCUUGAAGUUUUACUGCACAACGUUGUAUUUUUCUUCGACGAGCUGGAUUAAUGAGAGCCAGAAUCCACGAGACUGUGAUUGCAACUCUUCUUAAAAAUCACGCUCUGAAAAUCUAUUCAAUUGCCAUCUUACUAGAAAAGAGAGUAAAUAUGUUGUAAUUAGUGCAUAGGUGACACUGACUACCGAGGGAGAGAGAGGCCCGAAAAACUGCUUUUGUUAUUUAAACCUUUCUUUCAAAGUACAAAAGCAUUUGAUUGGCACUUCACUGAUUUAAUAGUCCAUUUGUAAUGCAGGAAGAACAUUACAGAAGAUUUUAGCAUUAUUUUAAAUCUCAUCAUUUAAUCUGUAGGUGUUUUUAAAAAAAAAAUCCUCAUUUCUAGCUGAAGAAAAGUUUUUGAUAGUUGUGUAGAUUCUGUGACUAGUCACUUGUUAGAGGUACGCAAGUCUUACGUUUUCCUAAAUAAAAUGCUUUAUGGGCUUAAAGUAGAACUGAGCUUGUUUGCUGCGUUAGCAUAUGAAGAAUCCUUCUGGCCCAGGGGUUUGUGGCUGCUGUUGCUACACUGUAGCGUUAGGAAUGGGUUCCUGAUUCCCUUACUUAAAAAAUCAGGGAGCUUCCAGCACUUCACCCCAACUAGAGAGCAGACCAGAUCCUUUGCAGCAGUUGUACCACAUGUACAAAGUACCUGCUAGUUCAUCCAGUAUUCUGAAUUUGCAGAGGCAGUAUUCCAGCUGUAGUUGCAUAAAUAUGCUUUGUCAAGUUUGCCUUUUUUUUUUUUUCCCCUUCUGAUUUACACAUGGGGAAGAUACAAAGGAAACAAAUCCAGAUUCCCUCCCUUUGUUUCUAUUUGAGAGUGGAAAAGAAGACUUCAUAAAGCACACGAGGGCUCGUCUUUGCCUUCCAAAUGUUUAAGGGGUGACUUCAUGGCUCAAAUAUUAUAUGCUAGAAGGACCCUGAGUUAAACAGCAGUGAAAUGACUUGCCAAUGUCAAAGAGCAGUCAGUGACAGCGUUGUUACAGAGCCUCUGCCUCCCAGGCCACAGCUGCACCUAUUGGCUUCAUUGUCCCAUCCCUCCUACGCACAUACAUGCCUGGCGUUGUUUUGGAAAUACAGCAGAAACUUGAUAAUUCAAACUGAUGACUGGGGGAGCCACUUGUGGAAUUAAUUUAUUGGGUAAAUUAGUGACUACAUGUGCAAGCAAUUUGUAAUUUUUUUUUUUUUUUUUAAGAGAUGCUGUGUCAUAGUGUAUGAUUUGUUCAGUUACUUCAAACAGUCUGGUUUAAUUGUCACUGCAUUAAUUUGGUAUCCUGAAACAGUUUUUGCUCAGUAUUUUAAUAGUGAAGUGUUAAAAGAUCUCCGCAUAGUUCUACCCUUGUUUUUUAAAUCUUUGAGGAGAAUUGGGUUUUCAGUUCUUCAACAGGAGGUUAUAAUUUGGGAUUAGAAAUUAAUCCGUAGCACCUAUUUUACGGUGUGGGAUUUAUGACAUGCCUCAGAGGUUAAACCAUAGCCCCAGUAUACUGAUCUGUGCUGUAGGCUGAUUUGAUUUCAGCAGGACUGCCUGACUAAGACAAAUAGGAUUUGAUCCUUGCUGGGUAACUUUGGUCGGAUUCCAGGUGGCCCUUCAGACUUACGAUUUCCAUCUCAGUAUUCGAAAAUAGAUGUGUUCUUUUUUGUUUAUUUUUCACAGGACCCCGGUAUUGUUCAGUAUAGUUUGUCAUGUGAGGCUGUAAAUCCCUUCAAGCGAGGUGGGAUUUUAGAUUUACAAACUGUUCCUAAGUGAUUACACACGUACUGCGAAGGAAAAGGCUGUCCUCUAGCCAAGUGAGGGCAGAACUCAGGAUGCUUAACUCAUUAAGAUUCCACAGCAACCGGAAUUACUAAUAUGGAAUAUGCUACAGAGAAAAAUAACUAUUGUUUUAUUUCUUUAAAGUACCACAUUAGUGUUAAAUAAGCAAAAUGCAUACGCAAUUUCAUGUAUAGUAGCCCAAGUGAACUUAGCAGCCUCUCUGAAGCAGCGGGCUAUUGCAGAAAGCCUGCACCAGUCAUUACGGUAUUAAGAACAAAACAAAAACAAUACGGUGCCUCAAACUGGCAGCUUUUUGUAAACUUUAUGUGUUUACCCUUCCGUAGUCACACUGACCCUUGCUCUUAGAUUUCAGAGCAACACAAACAAAACCGAAUCAAUUUCUUUAAUUUUGACGAGCAGUAAAUACUGUGAUGUGAUGAAUCAUUGCGCGAUCGUGAAGCAAAAAAAAAAAAGGAGUUGUUGACAGGAUUUCACAGCCAGAGGUGAUUUUGGAACGUUGGAGUUGCUCUGUGAAGUCCCACACCUUGUGGCCUGAGUAGGACUCUCCAAAAAGAAUCAGGAUGUGGGCCGUGCUGUUCCGAUCGAUAUCACCGAAUACCAGAUUCUACUCUGGCUUUUACACGCACUCACAAAAGGUGGCCCAAGAAAUAAGAAAAUAUAACCAUCUGUAAUCCAAUUUUCUCAUUGAGGACAGUUCUGAGUCCGAUUCUUUUGCUGUUUAUUCAAAUAAAAAAAUAUUUCUUCAGAUUUUCCUUUUUCUUUUUAAUAAAUAAGGCAUGGGAUCCAACUCAAUUGUUGCUUCUUCGAUUUUCAUGAAAGCAUGCUGGAGACUGAGUACUUUGUUACUGAUUUUGGUUUCUGGCUUAAGACGUGGGACCCCGAGGCUCUCUGCUCUGCCACAAAUAGCAUAUUUGACUUUAGGGAAAAUUGCUCUUUGUUUUCCAUCUGUGUCACAGGAAUAAUAUUCGUGUGCUGUCAUUACAAAUACUUGUGAAGGUAUACACUCGGAGAAUUCUGAAAUGAUGUUGUUAUGGUUAUAUAUAAUAUCACAAGUAAUAAUUUCAGAUACUAGGUGCCAAUUAUUCCGUUGGCUAUUUGGUUUGACGGUAAAUGC
rnacentral:lncRNA from 1 species